UGGAUCUAGAAAACGACUGCUUAUGCAAAUUCGAUAUUGAUCAAGCAAAGGCAGUUCCCAAAAACCAGCUAGAGACAGGGCUUGAGCUAUUCGUUUCUCUUGUUUUACUUAGUUUUCCAAUCUCUUCUUGAGCUUGACUCACUAUUGUCUUGCUCAUAGAAAUGAGAGGAACAACCUCAAGGGAGUAGCUUAAUUUUUUUGGAAAUCAUCUUGAUCUUCAUGUAGGUUGAUUGAUGAAUGUUGGCAUUCAGAACCUCUUGUCAGACCAACCUUUUCUGAGAUCAUCACAAGACUGGAUAAAGUUUGUUGCAACUGUUCAAAACAAGGAUGCUGGAAAGACACUUUUAAGCUUCCAUGGAACUCUUCAUGCAAUUUCCUAAUUCUUAAUUAAUCAGUGAGACUUUGACCAAGCAAGAACUCGAACACUUUAAUUUGUGCCCAUUGAUUGAUUUCCUCUCGUAUUGAUCCAAGACGGUAUUCGUAGUCUGUGGAUGAGUAUUUUUCUCAAAAACAAAUGGGAAGUAUAAAGCGGAACACGGAUGGAUCAGCUUUCGGAAAACCAGGUAAUAUGCGCGCAGGUCUGGGAGGAGUUCUGAGAAAUCAUGAAGUGUUCUUUGCACCUUCUCGUUCCCUCCUGGCAUAAAAGUAACAAAUGAAGUGAAGGUGAUGGCAUCUUGAAGGCUUUGCAAAUCAGAGUGGGAUCUUCCCUUGCAAAUGAAGUGGAGUGGAUCUUAGAGACAUUCUCUUAUUGGCAUUGUCUGCUAUUGACACGGAAACUUCAAGCGAAGGCUCCUUACAUUUUUUAUAUCCGUUCUUCUCUGUUUCGGUUCGUCUUCAUGGCAUUUAGAAUGGGUCAUUAAGAGGUCAUGAAGACGUUGAACAUACAGUGGUACUGCAUAUAUUUCUUCCACUCGAAGACUUUGUAAGUGGAGGCCAUUAAGAUGUUAGGAUACUGGUAUGUAAACCCGAGAAGACAAAAGGUAAGGGACAAGAUAAAAUGAGAAAUGACACACAAGAAUUUACGUGGUUCUCUCAA